GGUAAAUGUGGGGAGUUCAUAAGAAAAUGCAUGUUAUAAAUUUAUGGAAUAUAUAACAGCAUCUGUAGGAGUUUAUAAACUGUUAAAAUGUUUCCCUUUACCCAGUCCUUCAUUAUCCUACACAUCCCCUCUUAUAGAGGGCCUCAGAUGCCUGGAAGUCUUAAAUGUUUUCAGAUAUUUCAUACCUUAAACAAAAUAAUUGGAUGACCAAAGAGGAUUGCUGUCUUUGAGCUAAUUACAUUAAAGCUCUGUGGCAAGCACUUCUUCAGCUUGAUGUCCGGAUAUGCAUGGGAGUGCCUUAAUUGGUGAGAUUAUAAUAAGGAUAGGCAUUCGCUCAGCAGAUAAUAACUGCAUGCUCAGUACUUAGACAUUUGUGCAAGUUCUUUAGGAGUAAGAUGGGCUGACUGCUUUGUUCAGUAUAUUGAUACUUGUGGAUCCCAAGUGAAAUGGAGAUUUCAACACCAUUACUGCCUUGUUUAUAUUGAGGAGCUGUGCAAAAUGACAUGAUCUGAUUACUGCUCCGGCUUUGUGUACUGAGCUGUCAAGACAGCCAAGCCCUUAUACCUUUAAUACAAAAGUUAUGUCAAAAGACAAGGCAUUUGACUUGCUCUUUCAUAUUGUUACAUCUCUGAUGGCAACUGGGGGAAUCAGUUUGUAACUUUCAGUGUAUAGAAAUGACACCAAAAUCAAUCAAAAGGAG
rnacentral:lncRNA from 1 species